AGGAGGAACAGCCCCAGUGGCGGGGCCAGCUCUGGAAACCUGGAUUCAGCUCCGGCAGGAACUCCGUCUGCAGGGUCUGGAUGUUCCGGGGCGGG
rfam:Canis lupus familiaris chromosome X, whole genome shotgun sequence.